AGGCUGCGAGUUGGGCGCGCUGCUCCGGAUAGAGUGCCAUGUGCUGGUAGAGUUACUCCUUUCAAAGAAACCAUAAGGAAAUAUGCUGACAAACCUUCAGAAGUUGUAAUAAAGCCGGAGAUUGGGAUGAGUUUCGAUUCCCUUGGAGAAGUGUACGAUUUCUGUAACCUCUAUUCAUGGGAACUUGGAGGUAUACGAUACGGCAAGAGUUGUUAAAAUGUUGAGAGGAUUAAAUGUAUGCAAGAGAUUAUCUGUGGAUGCUCGGGAAACCCUGAGCAAGAGAAUAGCCGGUCUUGCCGUUGCGAGUGUCCUGCGAUGGUCAGAUUACUAAGAGCUAUAGACAAUGGAUGGUACACUGUAGAGCACCGGUCAGGUCACAAUCAUUCCAUGUCUCUUACGUGCGGAGAAAAGGUUCAUUGGCCAUCCCACAAACACAUAGACAUUUACACAAAAGACUUGUUGAAACAACUUAGGGCAGACAAUGUGAACCUCAACAAGGUGUAUAUCAUAGUUGGCAGCUUAUUCGGUUCAUCAAAGGGCGUAGCUUUCACAAAAAGGUCAUUACACAAUCUGUGUGGGCGAAUAAGCCGAGACCAAGCUGAUGAUGAUGUCAACAAAACUCAAGCUGUGUUCAAAGAGAUUCAGCAGAACGACACGGAAUUCACCUACAGAGUCCAGGGCGAUGAGGAGAGCAGAAUCAAAGACCUUAUGUGGACAAACGGAAACAGCAAGUUGCAGUACAAGUUCUUCGGCGAUGUUAUCACAUUCGACACGACGUAUCGGACGAACUUGUACGACAUGCCCUUUGGUUUGUUUGUUGGAGUGAACAAUCAUUUUCAAAGCAUAAUACUAGCUGGUAUUCUGAUGCGUGAUGAACAAGUGAAGAGCUUCCAAUGGUUAUUUUCUGAAUUCAUCAACAUGAUGGGCGGCAAACAUCCGCAGACAAUAUUGACAGGUUUGUGCCAACCUCGAAAAAACGAUGCAUAUGUAGAUAUGUAG
rnacentral:rRNA from 1 species